UACGUAGGUGGCAAGCGUUGUCCGGAUUUACUGGGCGUAAAGGGCGCGUAGGCGGUCAGCACAAGUCAGUUGUGAAAUCUCCGGGCUUAACUCGGAACGGUCAACUGAUACUGUGCGACUAGAGUGCAGAAGGGGCAACUGGAAUUCUCGGUGUAGCGGUGAAAUGCGUAGAUAUCGAGAGGAACACCUGCGGCGAAGGCGGGUUGCUGGGCUGACACUGACGCUGAGGCGCGAAAGCCAGGGGAGCGAACGGG
rnacentral:rRNA from 1 species